rnacentral:rRNA from 1 species
GACGUAGGGGGCCAGCGUUGUUCGGAAUUACUGGGUGUAAAGGGUUCGUAGGCGGUGUGGCAAGUCGGGAGUGAAAUCUCUGGGCUCAACCCAGAGUCUGCUUCCGAAACUGCUGUGCUUGAGUGUGGGAGAGGCGCGUGGAAUUGCAGGUGUAGCGGUGAAAUGCGUAGAUAUCAGGAGGAAUACCGGUGGCGAAAGCGGCAUCCUGGACCGACAUUGACGCUGAGGAGCGAAAGCCAGGGGAGCAAACGGG